GCCCCGGUCGUCUAACGGUCAGGACACCACUCUUUCAAGGUGGAGACCGGGGUUCGAUUCCCCGUCGGGGUA
rnacentral:tRNA from 1 species